rnacentral:rRNA from 1 species
CCUACGGGAGGCUGCAGUGAGGAAUAUUGGUCAAUGGGCGCGAGCCUGAACCAGCCAAGUAGCGUGAAGGAUGACUGCCCUACGGGUUGUAAACUUCUUUUAUAAAGGGACAAAAUCAGGCUCGAGAGCCUGACCGAGGGUACUUGAAGAAUAAGCAUCGGCUAACUCCGUGCCAGCAGCCGCGGUAAUACGGAGGAUGCGAGCGUUAUCCGGAUUUAUUGGGUUUAAAGGGUGCGUAGGGGGACGGUUAAGUCAGCGGUAAAAGCCCGGGGCUAAACCCCGGCGAGCCGUUGAAACUGGCUGUCUUGAGAUGUGGAGAGGUAUGCGGAAUGCGUAGUGUAGCGGUGAAAUGCUUAGAUAUUGCGCAGAAUUCCGAUUGCGAAGGCAGCAUACUGGCGGCGCUCUGACGCUGAGGCACGAAAGCGUGGGUAUCGAACAGGAUUAGAUACCCUGGUAGUC